UAGGGAAUCUUCNNNCAAUGGACGGAAGUCUGACCGAGCAACGCCGCGUGAGUGAAGAAGGUUUUCGGAUCGUAAAGCUCUGUUGUAAGAGAAGAACGAGUGUGAGAGUGGAAAGUUCACACUGUGACGGUAUCUUACCAGAAAGGGACGGCUAACUACGUGCCAGCAGCCGCGGUAAUACGUAGGUCCCGAGCGUUGUCCGGAUUUAUUGGGCGUAAAGCGAGCGCAGGCGGUUAGAUAAGUCUGAAGUUAAAGGCUGUGGCUUAACCAUAGUACGCUUUGGAAACUGUUUAACUUGAGUGCAAGAGGGGAGAGUGGAAUUCCAUGUGUAGCGGUGAAAUGCGUAGAUAUAUGGAGGAACACCGGUGGCGAAAGCGGCUCUCUGGCUUGUAACUGACGCUGAGGCUCGAAAGCGUGGGGAGCAAACAGGAUUAGAUACCCUGGUAGUCCACGCCGUAAACGAUGAGUGCUAGGUGUUAGACCCUUUCCGGGGUUUAGUGCCGUAGCUAACGCAUUAAGCACUCCGCCUGGGGAGUACGACCGCAAGGNUG
rnacentral:rRNA from 1 species